rnacentral:rRNA from 1 species
UCGGGAAUUUUGGGCAAUGGGCGAAAGCCUGACCCAGCAACGCCGCGUGAAGGAUGAAGUAUUUCGGUAUGUAAACUUCGUAAGAAUGGGAAGAAUAAAUGACGGUACCAUUUGUAAGGUCCGGCUAACUACGUGCCAGCAGCCGCGGUAAUACGUAGGGACCAAGCGUUGUUCGGAUUUACUGGGCGUAAAGGGUGCGUAGGCGGCGUGUCAAGUCAGUUGUGAAAUCUUAAGGCUUAACCUUAAGCGGUCAACUGAUACUGUCAUGCUAGAGUGCAGAAGGGGCAAUCGGAAUUCUUGGUGUAGCGGUGAAAUGCGUAGAUAUCAAGAGGAACACCUGAGGUGAAGACGGGUUGCUGGGCUGACACUGACGCUGAGGCACGAAAGCUAGGGUAGCAAACGGG